AGUGAACGCUGGCGGUAGGCCUAACACAUGCAAGUCGAACGGCAGCACAGUAAGAGCUUGCUCUUACGGGUGGCGAGUGGCGGACGGGUGAGGAAUACAUCGGAAUCUACUUUUUCGUGGGGGAUAACGUAGGGAAACUUACGCUAAUACCGCAUACCACCUACGGGUGAAAGCAGGGGAUCUUCGGACCUUGCGCGAUUGAAUGAGCCGAUGUCGGAUUAGCUAGUUGGCGGGGUAAAGGCCCACCAAGGCGACGAUCCGUAGCUGGUCUGAGAGGAUGAUCAGCCACACUGGAACUGAGACACGGUCCAGACUCCUACGGGAGGCAGCAGUGGGGAAUAUUGGACAAUGGGCGCAAGCCUGAUCCAGCCAUACCGCGUGGGUGAAGAAGGCCUUCGGGUUGUAAAGCCCUUUUGUUGGGAAAGAAAAGCAGCAGGUUAAAACCCCGCUGUUCUGACGGUACCCAAAGAAUAAGCACCGGCUAACUUCGUG
rnacentral:rRNA from 1 species